AUGAAGGAAGGUAAGAAUAGAUUUGAAAUACAAAAUGAGAAGUUGAAGUUCAUUUUUUACAUGCAGAAUUUUCAGUCAUUUUUACAAACAAAAAGGUUUUCCUACAAGUGUUGCUCUUGCUGUAAUCUAAGAGGUUUAAAAGCAAUUUUUGGCAAACAGGUUGUAAUCAAUCUGAUUAGCCAGAAGGGCUCAGAGAAGCCACUUGAACAGACAUUUGCAACAAUGGUGUCUUCUUUGGGAAGUGGAAUGAUGAAAUACAUUGCCUUUGACUUCCAUAAGGAAUGUAAAAAUAUGAGAUGGGAUGGACUAAGUAUUUUAUUGGAUCAGGUAGCAGAAAUGCAAGAUUAAGUUAUUUUCUACUGGACUCUGCUGGCCACAUGGUGACAAACCAGGAAAGCAUGUUCCAAAGCAAUUGCAUGAUUGUCUAGACAGAACCAAUGUGAUCCAGAGUUUGCUAGCUUGUCAUUCACUUCAGGCCCAACUUCAGAGACUAGGAGUUUUGCAUGUGGGACAAAAGCUGGAAGAAUAAGAUGAAUUUGAGAAGAUUUACAAAAGUGCCUGGGCUGACAAUGUAAAUGUCUGUGCCAAGCAAUAUGCGGGAACUGGUGGUGCCUUGAAGACUGACUUUACCAGAACUGGGAAGAGCACUCAUUUGGGACUUAUAAUGGGUGGCUGGAACUCAAUGAUAUGGUAUUAUAAGAACAACUUCUCCGAUGCAUUAAAACAAGAUUCCAUAGACUUAUUUCUUGGAAACUAUUCAGUGGAUGAAUUAGAAUCUCAUAGUCCUUUAAGUGUUCCAAGGGAUUGGGAAUCCCUGGCUUUGCCUAUUAUCAUGGUUGUUGCCUUUUCAAUGUGCAUUAUUUGUUUGUUUAUGGCUGGUGACACUUGGACAAUAAUGCUGGCCUAUGUGCUCUUCUGGGGAGUUGCAAGCAUUGGAACAUUUUUUAUCAUUCUUUACAAUGGCAAAGAUUUUGUUGGCGCUCUCAGACUGGUCCACAAAGGAAAGAUAAACUGAUUUUGUGUUUGUGGAAAGCAGCUUGGCUUGGAAGAUUCCAUUAUGCAGAACUGGAGUCUUUACUGACCUGCUUUCCACAUCAGCCCAAGGUCUUUUUAAUGCCUUUAUCCAAAAGCAAAUCUUGUACUCUGUGCAGGAUGAUGACAGAAUUGAUCGAUAUUACUGCCUUGAUGGUCUCUUUACUCUUGGGACAGUUAUUAAUUUGAAGCUGUACUGUAAUUAAAAUAAUAAUCUGAGUUCACCUUGCAGAAUGGAAGCUGAAUCUGUUCAUUUGAUUCUAUUGAUUAUCAAUUUAAUCAGCUGUUGCAGAAUAAGUAAUAUAUUUUAAAAACCUAGCUUCUUUCAUUGUUUAAAAUAGUAAAAUUACUUUUGUAGCUCAGUUUCAUUAUUGUCCCUGUAGAAGCAGUCGCUGUUAGCAGGCAAACUUUUUCACACAUCUUUGGACUUUUCUUAAAAGUUCAAUAAUAAGCUAACUGUGUUUGUAAAAUGUAAGUCUCUUACAGACAUCAAGUAGUUUGAUGAGACAGUCUGUGACUUCAUCAUAGGAAAGAGGAGAAUGAGGUCUGGGGUUCUUUAAAGUUUCUGGUGGGUCGCGUCAUGACUUGAAUCAGCUUGAACUGCCAGUGCACCAGCAGUUUAAGUGUGAAGAGAGAAUUCAGAUAUACUUUAUCUUUUUUAAAAAGUGUAAGUAAAAUCAAAGAAUGUAAAAUCUUUCUCUUAUGCUACAGGUUCAAAGCUGCCUCUGUUUUAAAGAUUGUCCCAGUGUGAAAGAUGCCCAUGACUGGUCAGCUACUUUCUCCUAUACAUUUGGGUUUCGUUGAGGGUCACUCAUUGAGACAUGCAGGCCUCUGAGAGGGUCUCGUUCUAGAUUUCAUAUUGCACUUGGGGGGCAACAGCUGCUUUUCCACACAUGGUACUCUUGAUGCCUCACUCUGUCAAGGAUUUUGUUGGCUAUCAAUAAAUGUGCCUAAAACUCAGUGCUUCCAGGUAUUUACAGUUCUGCAAAUCAAGGACAUUAAUUUAUGUGCAAAAACAAACCUGAAAAAUAAGCUUCAGAAACUGUGCAUAGUUCUAAUUGUAAGUCAGAUUGUAUAUUCAAAUUGUAAUUA